rfam:Aspergillus sydowii CBS 593.65 ASPSYscaffold_3_Cont159, whole genome shotgun sequence.
GGUCCUAUGAUGUAGAGGUUAUCAUGCCAGAUUUUGAUUCUGGACACCCGCGUUCGAAUCGCGGUAGGACCU